CCUACGGGAGGCAGCAGUGAGGAAUAUUGGUCAAUGGACGCAAGUCUGAACCAGCCAUGCCGCGUGCAGGAAGACGGCUCUAUGAGUUGUAAACUGCUUUUGUACGAGGGUAAACGCAGAUACGCGUCUCUGUCUGAAAGUAUCGUACGACUAAGGAUCGGCUAACUCCGUGCCAGCAGCCGCGGUAUUACGGAGGAUUCCAGCGUUAUCCGGAUUUAUUGGGGUUAAAGGGUGCGUCGGCGGUCGGAUAAGUUAGAGGUGAAAUCCCGAGGCUCAAAUUCGGAAUUGCCUCUGAUACUGUUCGGCGAGAGAGUAGUUGCGGUAGGCGGAAUGUAUGGUGUAGCGGUGAAAUGCUUAGAGAUCAUACAGAACACCGAUUGCGAAGGCAGCUUACCAAGCUACUUCUGACGUUGAGGCACGAAAGCGUGGGGAGCAAACAGGAUUAGAUACCCUGGUAGUC
rnacentral:rRNA from 1 species